rnacentral:rRNA from 1 species
CACUGCCCGUCAAGCCAUGGAAGUUGACUUUAUCUGAAAUUGGUGAGCUAACCUUCGGGAAGCAGCCACUUAUGGUAGAGUUGAUGACUGGGGUU